CCUACGGGUGGCAGCAGUGAGGAAUAUUGGUCAAUGGACGCAAGUCUGAACCAGCCAAGCCGCGUGCAGGAUGACGGCUCUAUGAGUUGUAAACUGCUUUUGUACGAGGGUAAAUCCCGAUACGUGUAUCGGGUUGAAAGUAUCGGACGAAUAAGGAUCGGCUAAUUCCGUGCCAGCAGCCGCGGUAAUACGGAGGAUGCGAGCGUUAUCCGGAUUUAUUGGGUUUAAAGGGUGCGUAGGCGGUUCGAUAAGUUAGAGGUGAAAUCCCGGGGCUCAACUCCGGCCCUGCCUCUGAUACUGGCGGGCUAGAGUUUGGUUGAGGUAGGCGGAAUGCAUGGUGUAGCGGUGAAAUGCAGAGAGAUCAUGCAGAACUCCGAUUGCGAAGGCAGCUUACC
rnacentral:rRNA from 1 species